UACGGGGGGGGCAAGCGUUGUUCGGAAUUACUGGGCGUAAAGGGCUCGUAGGCGGCCAACUAAGUCGGAUGUGAAAUCCCCAGGCUUAACCUGGGAACUGCAUCCGAUACUGGAUGGCUUGAAUUCGGGAGAGGGAUGCAGAAUUCCAGGUGUAGCGGUGAAAUGCGUAGAUAUCAGGAGGAACACCGAUGGCGAAGGCAGUGGUCUGGGCCGGAACUGACGCUGAAUAGCGAAAGCGUGGGUAGCGAACAGG
rnacentral:rRNA from 1 species